rnacentral:rRNA from 1 species
ACUGUUUCAGUUACACGUGGAUAACCUGCCCUAAGGUGGAGGAUAACCCCGGGAAACUGGGGAUAAUACUCCAUAGGUUCCGGAGGCUGGAAUGCCCUGGAGCCUAAAGCUCCGGCGCCUUAGGAUGGAUCUGCGGCCGAUUAGGUUGUUGUUGGGGUAACGGCCCAACAAGCCUGUAAUCGGUACGGGUUGUGAGAGCAAGAGCCCGGAGAUGGACUCUGAGACACGAGUCCAGGCCCUACGGGGCGCAGCAGGCGCGAAAACUUUACAAUGCAGGAAACUGUGAUAAGGGAACCCCGAGUGCCCGUAUACGCGGGCUGUUCAGGUGUUUAAAAAGCAUCUGGAGAAAGGGCCGGGCAAGACCGGUGCCAGCCGCCGCGGUAAUACCGGCGGCUCGAGUGGUGACCACUUUUAUUGGGCUUAAAGCGUCCGUAGCUGGAUUGUUAAGUCUCUUGGGAAAUCCGCCGGCUUAACCGGCGGGCGUCUAAGAGAUACUGGCAACCUAGGGACCGGAAGAGGUGAGAGGUACUCCGGGGGUAGAAGUGAAAUUCUGUAAUCCUCGGGGGACCACCUGUGGCGAAGGCGUCUCACCAGAACGGCUCCGACAGUGAGGGACGAAAGCUGGGGGAGCAAACCGGAUUAGAUACCCGGGUAGUCCCAGCCGUAAACGAUGCGCGUUAGGUGUGCCGGUGACCACGAGUUACCGGGGUGCCGAAGGGAAACCGUGAAACGUGCCGCCUGGGAAGUACGGUCGCAAGGCUGAAACUUAAAGGAAUUGGCGGGGGAGCAC